GUGAAUUGCAGAAUUCAGUGAAUCAUCGAAUCUUUGAACGCACAUUGCGCCCGCUGGUAUUCCGGCGGGCAUGCCUGUUCGAGCGUCAUU
rnacentral:rRNA from 1 species